rnacentral:lncRNA from 1 species
CUCCAUCACUUUGCAGGCCAGAGACCCUUGGCUGGUGACAACCCACCUGGGCCUCGCUCAGCCACACUGGUAUGCCCCAGUGUUAUAGCCUGUACCCACAAUCAGCAGUUCCCAAGCUCUUGUACUGCACCCAAGAAGAAUGAGGAUAUGGUGAACAUUGAAGUGUGAGGAGGGUGGCCUGAAUUUUAUUGAGCGACGGAACAGCUCUCAGCAGAGGGGAUGCAGUGGGGCGAUUCCGCUACCGGAAGGUGGGCAAGUCUCCCAUGUGGCUGGGUCCAGGGUGUUUUGUGGACUCAGAAUGGGGAGUGCAUGCUGACUGGCUUAUAAGUAUGCAAAGUGAAGACAUCACCCAAAGAAUCCUUGGCCAGUCAAAUCUACAGGGUAUCUCUCCUCAAGCAGUAAUCAGGGGUCCAUGAUUGCCAUGACAGAAGAAGAAACAGAAGAAUAAUGAUUGCUGGCUGUUAACUUCCUCGGCCUGGAAGUCAUACUCUCUGCUCACCUCUCAUUGGUUUGGACCAACCUACAGUCCCGUAGUGAGGGUAAGAACAUAGAAAACACAUGCAUACUUUGGUGAGCACUAACAACCUCUGCAAUAAAUAUAAAUAAGGUAAAGGCAGACUACAAAAAGAAUAAAAAUCCAUAAACAGAUUUUAAAAGUAUAUUAUCAUUAUUAUUCAGAGAGUCUUCCUCUGUUGCCUAGGCUGGAGUGCAGUGGUGUGAUCAUGGUUCACUGCAGCCUUGACCUCUCACGUCAGCCUCCCAAGUAGCUAGGACAACAGAUAUGCACCCACCACACCUAGCUAAUUUUGUAUUUUUUAUAGGGACAAGGUCUCACUCUGUUGCCCAGGCUGGUUGCAAACUCCUGAGCUCAAGCAGUCCUCCUGCCUUAGCCUCCCAAAGUGCUGGGACAAAAGGCAUGAGCAACUGCACUAGGCCAAAAAUAUAUUAUUUUUACAGGAAUGUUUGGAAGGCUACUCAACAAUAAAUCUGACAACCUAGCUUCAAUAGACAAAUUCUUGGGAAAAGAUAAAGAACCAAAAUCGGAACAAGAAGAAUGUUAAAGAAUAGCCAAGGCCAGGCACAGUGGCUCACACCUGUAAUCCCAGCACUUUGGGAGGCUGAGGUGGGUGGAUCACAAGGUCAGGGGUUUGAGACCAGCCUGACCAACAUAAGGAAACACCGUCUCUACUAAAAACACAAAAAUUAGCCAGGCGUGCUGGUGCACACCUGUAAUCCCAGCUACUCAGGAGGCUGAGGCAGGAGAAUUGCUUGAAAACCCGGGAGGUGGAGUUUGCGUUGAGCCGAGAUCGCCAGAGCGAGACUCUGUCUCAAAAAAACAAACAAACAAAAAAACAAAUAGCCAUAUGUUAACAAAAAUGGAAAUAGUAAUCAAAAAUCUCUCUCUAUCCUUGCCUUGCUUCACAAAAAAAUAAAAAUAAAAAUAAAGCCCCUGUUCCAGCUAUCAACUAAUUGUCCUUCAGCUGUAUCCCUUCUUUGUUAUCCUGCUUUGCGAUAGUAAAGCUGGACCCUGUAAACAUUUCUUCUUUUCCAGUUGGCAUGGUGGUAAGUUUUGUCAGUAGAGAGCGCUGGGGGACACUCCCGGUGGAAUGACUUCUCUCCUUGGUUUCCAAAUGCCACUCCUCUCUUUUGCAGUGAGACCUUGUCCCUAAAAAAUUAUAAAAUUAGCCAGGUGUGGUGGGUGCAUACUUGGGAGGCUGAGGUGAGAGGUUGAGGCUGCAGUGAACCAUGAUCACACCACUGCACUCCUGCCUAGGCAACAGAGCAAGCACUUCUGCAGCACUCAGCCUGCAUGAGGGAAACCCACUGGCACUCAGUCCUUCUAGUGAGUUCCUGUGGAACCCCCAUGGUGGCAUUCUAGUAGGCUCUACCAGCCUGCCAGCCAUCCUCCCAGCCAUCCUCCCAGCCAGCCUCUCCCAGCCAGCCUCCCAGCCAGUCUCCCAGGAGGGAGUUAGGUGUCAUCUCCACAAGCGAUUUUGUUGGCAAGUUCUGUAAGCUCCCAGCUGACAUUCAGGAUGUCUCACAGGCAAUCCAGCAGACAGUAUUCCAGCAAGUUCUGCUGCCCCCCAGUUCCCUUUCUAAAUAACCUCACAGGCAUCCCAGUGGGUGCUUCCUAUUGAGUUUGAGCAGAACUCCAUGGGCAGGCUUCCCAGAGGGCAGCUAACCUCCUGCAAGUUUUGUUUACACCCUAGACACAGUUUUCUGAUGAUCAACCUGGGCCUUUGACACCUCAGUCAACUUUUACACUAUUCAGAGGGCUACAGUCACACCCUUUCUAACAAAGUCUAAAUUAGCCCCUGUUGGAGGUGGGGGAACCCUCUUCCAAAUUUGUUCCUCCCUUGGGUCCUCUGUCUUAGCCCUAGUAGUUGUGACUUUUCCAUAGGGGGAAUACAUUCUACAUCUGUAUUCCUUGGAGUUCCUUCAUUAUCAUUUAAUAAUUCUUUUCAUUGCUUUUUCUGUUCAACUUAUUCUAUAACUUCUGUCUCCUGACUAGAUCCUGACUGAUGUAGCCCAAGACCCAGACAGUUUCAAAAGGAGAGUGCACCAAACGUCAAGGCACAGACAAUCCCAAUUUUACAUAUCAUCAAAAACAAAGAAAAAAGGAAAGGAAAUUUAUUUUAUGAUUCUAGUGCAAUUCACAUUCUCAAUCUAGAUUAGGGCAAUACAUUAAAACACAAUUUCAUGUCCUUCAAUAGGCAAAUCCAUAAAUGAGCUAUGGCACAUCUGACAAUAGGAUGUUAUUCAGUGAUUUAAAAUGUGAGUGUUCAAACCAUUUUUAUAGGGCAGGAAGGACAGCUGCAUAGGUGAAGCAGAGGGGAUUUUUAGAGCAGCAUAAUUGUUGUGUAUGAUACUGUAAUGGUGGAUACAUGCUAUUAUACAUUUACCAAAACCCAGAAAAUGUGCAUCAACAGUGAAUUCCAAUGUAAACUAUAGACUUUUGUGAAUAAUGUAACAAUAUUGGCUCAUCAAUUGUAAUAAAUGUACCGUGCUAAUGCAAGAUGUUAGUAAUAAGGGAAACUGGGGUAGAGUGGAGAGUAUAUGGGAACUCUCUGUAUUUUCUACUCAAUUUUUCUGAAACUUAAAACUGCUCCCCCCCAAAAAAUAAAACACAAUUCCAGACCUAACUUACUUAUGAAUAUAAAGCAUAAAUGCCAACAUGAUGACAUGAUGUUUUUGUUUCUUUAUUUCUUUUUUUUUUUUUUUUGAGAGACAGGAUCUUGCUCUGUCGCCCAGGUUGGAGCGCACUAAUGAGAUCAUAGCUCACUACAGCCUCAACCUCCUGGGUUCAAGCAAUCCUCCCAUUUCAACCUCCCAAGAAGUUGGAACUAAAGGCAUGUGCCACCGCUCCCAGAUUCAGAAACACAUCAAUGAAGUUCAGCACUCAUUUAUGACAAAAACUAUCACAAACCAGUACUCUUUAAAUUUCAUUAGCACUGACUGCUGGCUCUUUCCUCCAAACUUCACCUGGUUAAACUACGAAAGAGGAAGGAAAGCACAGAUCUGAGGAUUUCACAGCUAUAACAAAAACAAAUGAACAGAAAGCUGUGAGAAACACAUUGGAAGACAAAAGGUAACUCAUGAUUUAAUGUGGAUGGAAACCAGCAGCAUGGGGUAGGUAAAUGUUAAUGCCACAGCCAGCAAAUAGAAUGGAGGAAAACUGUAUUAUUUUUAAACUUUUAUCAUAGAAUAAUUUUUAAAAGUACAAACAUUAAGAGAAUAGUAUAUGGUAUUCCCUUGUAACCUCCUUCACCCAUGUUCAACUCAUGGAAAAACUUUUUCACUUAUAUUCCACACAUCCCCUACUCAACUUGGAUACUUUUGCCCAACUGACUUCAAAAGGCUACUGUGCACGGGCAUGGUGGCCCAUGCCUGUAAUCCCAACCCUUUGGGAGGCCGAGAUGGGAGGAUUGCUUGAGCUCAGGAAUUCAAGACCAGGCCAAGCAACAUAAUAAGGCCCUGUCUGUACUAGAAAUCAAAAAAAUUAGCCAGGUGUGGUGGUGCAUGUCUGUAGGUAUUCCCAGCUACUCAGGAGGAUGAAGUGAGAGAAUUGCUGGAGCCCAGGAGGUUGAGGCUGCAGUGAGUUGUGAUUGUGCCACUGCACUCCAGCCUGGGCAACAGAGUGAGACCCUGUUUCAAAAAAAAAAGAAGGCUACUGUAGCAUUAAUUUUCAAAUAAUGACUGAGUAAUAGAAAAUCAUAAUCCCAUUUCAUUUAUGAAUGAACAUGACAUGAACAUUUUAAAUAAAAUAUUAGGUAAUAAAAUUUCAUACUUACAUUUAAAAUAAUAUUUUUUAAAUAAUAUGUUUCAUAAUGGAACCUAUCAGUAGCAUAUGACACUGUUGAUUCCUCUCUUUUUCUUCAUUUUCUUUUCUUGGCUUAAAAGCUAUAACUUUCUUUUGAUUCUCCUCCUACCUAAGAAGUUACUCCCUCUCAAGCUUCUUCUUUGGUGUGUCCACACUUUCCCAACUUUUAGCAUUAAAUUUCACCAAGACUGUGUCUCAGACCUCUCCUUUUCUCAAUCUAAACUUAUUUUCCAGGUCAUCUCAACCAUGCUUGCAACUUGAACUACCAUGACUUCCAAAUUUAUAUCUUGACCUUUGACUUGUCCUUAAAUGCGAGACUCAUGUAUGUAAUUCCCUACUUCACAUCUACACUUGAAUAUUUAAUAUACACUUAAGAUAUCCUAAAUCAUAAUUUUGAGCUUCUCUCCUCUACCUGCCCACCACCCCACCAAGCCUUCUGCUCCUGCCCUCUUCAUUUUAUUAAAUAUCAAUUUCAUCCUUAUAGCUGCUCAUACCUACACCCCGAAUAUAUCUAUGAUUCCUCUUUAAUAACCUGUAUCUAAUUCAUCAGAAAUCCUGUUUAACAUAUCUUCAAACAUAUCAAGAAUCAGACCACUUUGCACUACCCCAUAACUACCACUGGUUCAAAACAAUGAUUUCUUAUUUGGAUUAUGCAAAGCCUCUUAACUAAUCUCCUUCAACUCAUAUCACCUCUUAAAACUCUUCUCCCCAUCACAGCUAGAAAGUUUUAUUUUAAAAGUUUUUCAUAGACUUAAUUUUUUAGGGAACUUUUGUGUUCACAGCAAAACUAAAGAGAAAGUAGAGAGUUCCCAUAUAUUUCCUACCACUACACCAAAACAGCUUUCUCCACUAUCAAAAUCCACUCCCCAAACUGGUACAUUUGUUAACAUGGAUGAGCCUACAUUGGCACAUAAUUAUCACCCAAAGUCUAUAGCUUACAUUAUAGUUCACUCUUGGUAUAAAUUGAAUGUGUUUUGACAAAUGUAUAAUGAGCUGCAUCCACCACUAUAGGAUCAUACAGAGUAGUUUCACUGCCGUAAAAGUCUUCUGUGCACUGCCUACUCAUCCUUCUCUUCCAUCUGACCCCUGGAAACCACUGAUCUUCUUACUGUCUCCGUAGUUUUGUCUUUUCAGAGUAUCAUAGAGCUCAAAUCACCCAUUAUGUGCCCUUUCCAGAUUGGUUCCUUUCACUUAGUAUGCAUUUAUUAUUCUUCUAUGUCUUUUCAUGGCUUGACAGCUCAUUUGUUUUUUAGUGCCCAAUAAUAUUCCAUUGCCUGGAUGUACCACAGUUUAUUUUACCAUUCACCUACUGAAAAACAUCUCCUUGCUUCCAAGUUUUGGCAAUUAUGAAUAAAACUACGAUAAAUAUUUGUAUGAAGAUUUUUGUGUGGACAUAGUUUUCAACUCAUUUUAUUAAAUACCAAGAAGCAUGAUUGCUGAAUUAUAUGUGAAGAGGUAUGUUUAAUUUUGUACAAAACUGACAAACUAUCUUUCAGAAUGCGUACACCAUUUUGCAUUCCCACCAGCAAUAAAUUGGAGUUUCUGUUGUUCCAAAUUCUCACCAGCAUUUCAUAGUGUUUGUGUUUUGAAUUUUUACUAUUCUAUUAAUAACAGGUGUGUAAUGGUAUCUCAUUGUUACCUUAAUUUGCAAGCCUCCCUAAUGACGUGUGAUGUUAAACAUAUUUUACAUGUUUGUUUUCCAUCUGUAAAUCUUUGUGAGAUGUCUGUUCAGAUCUUUUGCUCUUUUGUAAUCAUUGUUUCUUUUUAAAUCAUUGAGUUUUAGAGACUCUUUAAAAAUGUAUGUUAGAUCAUUUUACUCCUAUUCUCAAAUAAAAAUAAUGAUCACAUUUAAUCUUCACCAUGAACUGUUCUAAGUGCUAUUCAAAUGGCAUUCCAUCCAUUUUAAGAUGUAUAUUCCUUUUUCUCUUCACUUUAAAAAUAUUUUAAAUUGGGAUGUAUCUCACUGCUGUUGGCCAGGGAGUAGUCAUGAUGUAACUGUCAUUGCCUAUUUAUGCAAAUAAAAACUUGCUAAAGAUGUUGGUGUCAUGGAAGAAAAUCUCAUAGACAAUAAUAAAACAUAAUUUUUAAAAUGUUGCAUCACCAGUGGUCUGAAUGCAAACAAGAAUGAUAUUGGGUAGAAAAAGAAAGACAUAGACAAUCUUAAAUGUAAAAGUUAAAAAAUCCUAAAAGUUACUAAUUGUAAAAAAUAUUUUAAUCAAUUCAUGCAACUUUUAGUUAAGACGUGGAAUGGUGAUGUCAUAGUAUUUUGGGAAAACCCUAAGUAAACCAACCCUCACAAAGGCUGAAACCUAGCAUUGAAUUAUUUCAAUACAUAUUUACAUCAAGUUGAUUCAUCCCUACUCUAUCUGACCACCAGAGAAAAGUAAAUAUCCCCUGGAGAAAGAUAAUAUCAUUCACAAUCUCUCUAACUUUUACAGUCUCUAGAAUGCAAUAAAAAAUUACCAAGCAUGACAGCAGGAAGAAGUAACUAACAGAAAACCUGCAAGUAAUAAAAACAUAGGAAUAAUCAAACAAAAAUAUUAAAAUCAUAUGAUAAACAUGUUCAAGAGAGUAGAGUAAAAGAUAGAGACUAUAUCCCCUGAGAAAUGAAUCAAAUGGGCUGGGUGCCGU